rnacentral:lncRNA from 1 species
CGAUAGAACCCUUCACCUUAACUCGGUGGUUCGUAAAACCAUACAGCAGGCUAGCCUUGGACAAAACUUGUUCCUUCAACCCCAUCUUUUGAGAAGCCUUCUAGGUUAAAACCUCCACCACACUCCCAUUGUCGACCAAUAUUCUUCUAACUUCAAAACCUGCAAUCAUUACUGACACAACCAUUGGGUUAUUUCCCUAUUUGUCACACACUAGCUUCUCAUCGUCAUUACUAA